CCCCUAGAUGUUCUGGGCCGCACGCGCGCUACACUGAACAGUUCAACAAGUCUUAACCUUGGCCGAUAGGUCUGGGUAAUCUUUGAACGCUGUUCGUGACUGGGAUAGACCUUUGCAAUUAUGGGUCUUCAACGAGGAAUUCCUAGUAAACGCAAGUCAUCAGCCUGCAUUGAUUACGUCCCUGCCCUUUGUACACACCGCCCGUCGCACCUACCGAUUGAAUGGUCCGGUGAAAUCUCGGGACGGCGGCUUGGUCGCUUGCGUCCGACUGCUGAAACUUGAUUAAACCAUAUCAUUUAGAGGAAGGUGAAGUCGUAACA
rnacentral:rRNA from 1 species